CGCAUCUGUGCAUGCAGCAUAUCAAUAAGCGGAGGAAAAGAAACUAACAAGGAUUCCCUUAGUAACGGCGAGUGAAGCGGGAAGAGCUCAAAUUUGAAAUCUUCAAGGUUUUACCUUGACGAAUUGUAGUUUAAAGAAGUGUUUUCUGUUGAAGUUUUGGUAAAAGUUCUUUGGAAUAGGACAUCAUAGAGGGUGAGAAUCCCGUAUUUGACCAUUAUUUUCAGCUGUGUGAUACACUUUCAAAGAGUCGGAUUGUUUGGGAAUGCAGUCCAAAAUGGGUGGUAAAUUUCAUCUAAAGCUAAAUAUUGGCGAGAGACCGAUAGCGAACAAGUACCGUGAGGGAAAGAUGAAAAGAACUUUGAAAAGAGAGUUAAACAGUACGUGAAAUUGUCAAAAGGGAAGCGUUUGACACCAGUGUUGUUUUCUCGAAAAUCAAUUAAAAGAGUUAGAUUUUGUUGUGUAUUGACCUUAACAGCUUGCAUUUCAAUUUUCUUGCUUUUUUUAAUGCACUUUUCGUUUAACAAGUCAACAUCAGUUUCUUUUGUUGUAAAAAGGUCAUUGGAAGGUGGCUUUCUUUUCGGAGAAAGUGUUUAUAGCCUUUGACUCCUGCAAUCGGAGAGACUGAGGUCUGCAGCGUAGAUCCUUCGGGGUUAGAUACAUUUGUGCUAAGUUAUAGCUUUUUAUAGACAACUUGUUGACUAUGAUUAGUCUUGUAGCUUACUCGCUUAUGCUAUUUUACCUACGCUUAGGAUGUUGAUGUGAUACUGCGAGCA
rnacentral:rRNA from 1 species